CUCUUCUCUUGUCAAACACAGCUGCCUGAGCACUCACCUGACACCUGGUGUGAUAGUGCUCAGGCAAGUAGGCCCUGAGCCAGGAGGGCCCUCUUCCCAGUGGUUGCCUGGUUACAGCCUGAGAGGUUCGCCAGGGUAACAUCUGGAAUAAAGGGGAGCUCCAUGGACCCACAAGGAAGAGGCUGACUGGAAGUUCACUUCAGAUUCUUCAUAACUCACAGCACAUAAAAACUGACUCAUGGUGACAAACCACUAGCUUGAAUUUGGGCUUCUUCCAACAAAAUACUUUAAGAUGAAGCCAAGUGGAUCUGGAAUGAAUUGUCCUUGCAGUUUCAGAAGCUGUCAUGGAGAGGCUCAGACUCCUCAUGCUUGCAGGAAAGAGGAAGUUUCCAUAGCAGAAUGGAUCGCUGGCAAGAACUGCUGUGUGCUGGCUCUCACCCAAGUCUCUGGCACUGCAAGGAGUUAUCGGAUCAAUUAGUAAUUGGCUCUUAUUUAGAGAAACCUAGGAGAUUAACCCUGGUCAGACUUCCAACCAACCAUACACAGACCUGACAUCCCCAGUCCCCCUGCAAGAGCAACAGUGAACACUGGGGCACACCACCCAAAUUGGUGUGUGGAAGCCUUGUGGUUCAGCCACAAGGAAGGUUGUUGGUCACAUUGUUCACCUGUCAGACCUUCUGCAGUUUUUUCAACUGCCCCACUGACCCAUCUCACCCAAGCUCACCCUGAAUCCAUUGAUUGAUGCCAUAAUGUGAAAGCCCAGCACCUCAGCCCAGCUGGGGACAAUUGGAGCUCCAGAUUCAGCCAAGGUUAUCUCUGGAUCUGCAUCACAGCUAGGCUUUUCCCGCUUCCCACUCCUGCUUCCCUCACCUCCUAUCCACAGCUCCAGAAAAAGGGGCAAGGGAUGCCUCUUUGGAGAGAGGAAAAGUAGUCUCCCUCCAGAAUAAAGAGGAAGGGAAAGCCAGCUAAUUCUUUCCUUGAGGAUUAGAGACCAAGAAACCCAGCAGGAGCCCUCAUAUCACCACACUAGAGACCUCUCCGUCCAUCAUUCCAACAAGGCUACUGGAAAAGUAUUUCUGUGCUGGAUCUGUCCAUAACUUCUUUCAAAGACCCCCAGUCUCCUAAGUGUUUUGUAUAUAAAAAACUACUCCUCUACAACCCCGUAAGUGAAGCAGAUCCAUGAUACCAAGUUAUUGAGUUGGAAUCUUCACCUACACCUGGACUCUUAAAGCAUGGAUUGUAGGGGAAAGGGCCCACCGUUGAUUAUUUAGAUUAAGUAAAGCAUAGAGACAUUCAGAGUGGAGCCACAGAACGGUCCCAGUGUUAGGGUAAUAAAUAGCAAGUCCUUGCUGGACGAAGCAAAAACAUCCAAGUAAGCCUGGAAACCUCCGAGUAAGCUCACGAAUUGAUCAAACCAAAAGAUUUGCCUCCAUUCCACAGAAAAGCCAGCAUUUCGGUGCAGUCCCCCAGGAGCUGGAAGACAUCUGUCUGGGUCGUGUUGCCACCCCACCCCGCAGAGUGAGAAACGGGACGGUGCCAGCUGCCCCCGGCACCCAGCAGAGCAGGGCAAGCGUUGACCCCCUGACUUUCCACCAAAGACACGUCCCCCGGCCACUUCACAUUGCCUUUUUUUCCAGGGAAGAAAAUAAAACUGGGAUGAGAGAUGCCGACCAGUUUGUGACAAGCACCGUUUUGACAGAAAGCCAAGCGGGUCUGGAAAAAUGUCCAGAAGGAAGGCCUUUGUCCAUGGUCUUGACUAAGAAUUCACUUAACCAAACAGAUAGCACCAUGCUUGGCACGCGGGAAAUGACCCAUAAAUACAUGUGGACAGGAUAGAUCACCUGUCACAGGGGACAAAUGGACAGUGUGCGGCAUACCUCAGCAGACCUCAUUCGAGGCGGUUCUCUGACACUGGAUCUUAUUUAUCCCCUACAAGUGUCUCCCAUUGUUUAUUUCCUCCUUCUUUUUUUCCUUGUGUCUCUACUUGAAUAUUGCUCUAGAAGACAAGAACCGAAUCAUUUGUUCACACCAACCUACUGGAAACACCAGCCGUCUCUGGAUAGUCCAUGUGAGCUGAAUGAAUGAAUGAGUGGUUCUUCUUUGCUGGGACUAUUCACCAAUACUCACUGUCUCUCCUGCUUUUGGUGAUAAGAGCGAUGCAUAAACUCCUACAAUGCUGGCAUCAAAA